UUUUUUUUUUAUACGUCUUACACUUUGAUUUACUUGUCGUAGGGCCUUCAUCAGGUCAACUUAAAAAUUACAUGAGUCUCCUCAAGACAACAUGAAGAUGUAAAGUUAUCAAAAAAAACACUUUUCACCACACCGUCUGACCGUGGCGUGCCCUUAAAAUUUGAUGAAUAACAUUAAAACACGGCCUUCUGUAUCUUGGACAUAUUUUGUCCAAUCGAGUCCAAACUAUACACAUAAGACAAGAGUCGCGAUCGGAAGACAUCUACCUAGAAAUCAUGACUUAAAAGGACAGCGCCCCCUGGGGGCAUUAGGAAAUGUCUUGUUUUGGUAGGUGUUACUCUUUGAUCUAUUUCUCCCCAGCCACUGUGCUAAACCAUGUCAAACUUUGUCACAUGGGUCUCAAGAUAUUGAUAAUGUAGGCAUAAUAUUACUGUGACUUUUCAUCAUGCGGAUUGUUAAUGGCGGGGCAUCAAAGUUCAUCAGCUCACCAUGACAAACGAAAUUCAUUUUAACGGAGUUACCAUGAACGCAUCAUUAGACCGCAUUGUUUUGGUCAACUCACACCUGGAGUUAUUUCUAUUCAGCCACUUUGCGAAACCAUUUCAAACUGUGUGAAAUGGGUCUCAAGAUAUUGAUAGUGUAGGCAUAAGAUUGCUGUGACUUUUCAUCAUGAUGAUUAACUGCUUGGCAGCUGAGGUCAUCAUCUCGACAUGAAAAACGAAACGCAAUUUAACACAGCUGCAAGUGAACGCAUCAUGACAAUCUUCAGUAAGAGCUGAGUCUGUGGUGACGGUCCACUCACACAUCGAAUCAGUAGCACAGUUUGCUGUUCUGCUUGUUCAUCUGACGGACACGUAAAAGGCGACUGCUCUCUCGUUUCUGUGGAUGUCCAGCGUGAGACACAACUUGAAUCCAACCAGACUGAACACUGACUCCAGGGACAGACGAGCCUGAAGGACACAGCUGUGAUGACCAUGUUCUGUCUCUUAUGACAAAGCAGAAAUAUAAAACACUGGGUUCUUAUCUAAAGUGUAUCAAAUCAGAUCUCCACCAUGUUGCUGCUGAGGACAUCAGGUGCUGCAGUUCUUCAUCUAUGAAGAUGAAAAAACUCACUGUUAAAGAAUGUUUUGUGUUGUGUAUGAAGCACAACAGAUUUCAGAUAGAACCGUUGUACUGUGGUCUUGGUUUGUAUCCUCAUGGUUAAAUGUACAUAUUUUACGUCCCUUCUGAUAAAAGUACUGAAAGAAAUACAACAUUGUAUAAAUAGAUAAAAUGUCUUUCUACCUCAUCAGUAAUAUUCAAGGUGAUAAUCUCCCACAGAGCUAUUGAUAGAAGUCCACAUCAAGUCUCUCGACUUCUCUCAGUGUGAAAACAUAAUUAUAUCAUUAAUUUGAGAACUGUUUACAACACUGAUGUUUGGAGAUUAAAAUCAUAUCUAAACUGUCUAAUUCACUGUAAAACUCCAUGACAUUCGCAGGCCAUCUGUACUUAAAAGACGAACCUGGAUUGAUCUGUCCAAAAAUCCAAAAGUCUCCCUACCCUCUCUAGUGCCCCUGAGCAAGGCACCUCACUCCCCAAACAUCUGCUCCCCGAGCGCCGUACAUGGUCGCUGACUGCUCUGUGUGUCCUGCACCAGAUGUUGUCUUCCAGUUGACCAGCAUGACGCUGCAGAUCUCCACCAUGUUGCUGCUGAGGACAUCAGGAGCUGCAUUAAUGAGGAGCAGAAGCGCACUGUUAUGAAUGUUUUGUGUUGUGUAUGAAGCACCACAUAUUUCAGAUAGAACCAAUGUACUGGGGUCUGGGUUUGUAUCCUAAUGGUUAAAUGCACAUACUUUAAAUCGCUUUUGAUAAAACGUGAGAAAGAAAUACAACAUUAUACACAUAGAUAAAAUGUCUUUCUACCUCAUCUGUAAUAUUCAAGGUGAUGAUCUCCCACAGAGCUGUUGAUAACAGUCCACAUCAAGUCUCUCCACUUCCCUCAGUGUGAAAACAUAAUUAUAUAAUUAACUGGAGAAGUGUUUACAACACUGAUGUGUGGACAUUAUAAUCUUAUCUAUACUGUCUAAUUGACUCUACAACUCCAUGACAGACUAAAUUAACAAUGUGAAAAUAGUAAUGGUGGAUAUAUCAGCCUGUAUCAGAAUAAUGGUGAAACAGUUAUUAUCACAUGCAACGUACACGUGUAGCGUAUUGAUAGUCACUUAUUAAAAAAAUAAAUAAAGUCACAACCAAAACAAGAA